rnacentral:lncRNA from 1 species
ACAUACCAUGAAAUGAAUCUAUCCCAAGCCCACAUUGUUUGGUCUAUGUUACUCUUCAUGGCACUAUCCUAGGGAAAGAACUCUCAUGGAUCUCAGUCUCCUUGACAGGUCUGCCCAGAUGGAUACCUCAGCUUGGAAACCAGGGCUGGCUGUCGGAUGUGUCCAGAUGGCUACUGGUGUGAUCCACAGAGUGGUCUGCAGAAACGCUGCCACCCUGGUCAGUAUUCACCUGAAGGGGAGACAGAGUGCUGGCGAUGCCCCAAAGGCUACAUCUGCCCUGAUGGACAAGAGAAACAGCAUUGCCGAAGUGGCCAGGAGCCCAAUCCCACUCACACACUUUGUGUAUCCUGUCUUCCUGGAUUUUACUCUGUGGAAGGGACUCCAGAAUGCCAGCCCUGUCCAACAGGCCAUUAUUGCCCUCACGUUGGCACUGUUCAACCACUUCCAUGUCCACCUGGCUUCUGGACCUAUGCUGCCCAGCAGACUGAAUGUCAAAAGUGUAAUGGAAGUUCUUGCUGUCCAAAUGGCAUAGGUGAGGGGCCUCACAUCCAGGUAUCGGCUCGUUCUGCUGGAGGUCUGCAAAACCAUUCAUGCCCCGCAGGUGAACCUGGUUUGCUUGCUUGCAUUUCACUAAUUCAUUCACCCGCACAGCGCUUGGAAGGACCAGUGAGCAUUUCACACCAUGAAAAGUGCAAAACUCGUAUCAGCAGAGCUAGAAAGUUGACAUGAAUGAAGUGGGAGCUGGGUGGGCUGACAAUCUCGUCCUAUAAAAUGGAUUUCCCACAUUGGCAGAAAUCUAGAGUGCAUGACCUUUGAGGCUGCUUUCAACUCUGUGAUAA